rnacentral:rRNA from 1 species
AGAGUUUGAUCAUGGCUCAGGAUGAACGCUGGCGGCGUGCCUAACACAUGCAAGUCGAGCGAUUUACUUCGGUAAAGAGCGGCGGACGGGCGAGUAACGCGUGGGUAACCUGCCCUGUACACACGGAUAACAUACCGAAAGGUAUGCUAAUACGAGAUAAUAUGCUUUUAUCGCAUGGUAGAAGUAUCAAAGCUUUUGCGGUACAGGAUGGACCCGCGUCUGAUUAGCUAGUUGGCAAGGUAACGGCUUACCAAGGCGACGAUCAGUAGCCGACCUGAGAGGGUGAUCGGCCACAUUGGAACUGAGACACGGUCCAAACUCCUACGGGAGGCAGCAGUGGGGAAUAUUGCACAAUGGGCGAAAGCCUGAUGCAGCAACGCCGCGUGAGCGAUGAAGGCCUUCGGGUCGUAAAGCUCUGUCCUCAAGGAAGAUAAUGACGG